rnacentral:rRNA from 1 species
CAGCCGUAAACUAUGCGCGUUAGGUGUAUCGGUGACCACGAGUUACCGAGGUGCCGAAGGGAAACCGUGAAACGUGCCGCCUGGGAAGUACGGUCGCAAGAUUGAAACUUAAAGGAAUUGGCGGGGGAGCACCACAAGGGUGAAGCUUGCGGUUUAAUUGGAGUCAACGCCGGAAAUCUCACCGGGAGCGACAGCAGUAUGAAAGCCAGAUUGAAGGUCUUGCUAGACGAGCUGAGAGGAGGUGCAUGGCGUAGUCGUGU